UGGGGAAUCUUCCGCAAUGGACGAAAGUCUGACGGAGCAACGCCGCGUGAGUGAAGACGGCCUUCGGGUUGUAAAGCUCUGUGAUCCGGGACGAAAGAGCCUGAGGUGAAUAGCCUAAGGAAGCGACGGUACCGGAAAAGCAAGCCACGGCUAACUACGUGCCAGCAGCCGCGGUAAUACGUAGGUGGCAAGCGUUGUCCGGAAUUAUUGGGCGUAAAGCGCGCGCAGGCGGCUUCCUAAGUCCAUCUUAAAAGUGCGGGGCUUAACCCCGGGAUGGGAUGGAAACUGGGAAGCUGGAGUAUCGGAGAGGAAAGUGGAAUUCCUAGUGGAGCGGUGAAAUGCGUAGAGAUUAGGAAGAACACCGGUGGCGAAGGCGACUUUCUGGACGAAAACUGACGCUGAGGCGCGAAAGCGUGGGGAGCAAACAGG
rnacentral:rRNA from 1 species